UGGGGAAUAUUGCACAAUGGGCGCAAGCCUGAUGCAGCCAUGCCGCGUGUAUGAAGAAGGCCUUCGGGUUGUAAAGUACUUUCAGUCGGGAGGAAGGUGGUAAGGUUAAUAACCUUGGCAAUUGACGUUACCGACAGAAGAAGCCCCGGCUAACUCCGUGCCAGCAGCCGCGGUAAUACGGAGGGUGCAAGCGUUAAUCGGAAUUACUGGGCGUAAAGCGCACGCAGGCGGUUGAUUGAGUCAGAUGUGAAAUCCCCGGGCUUAACCCGGGAAUUGCAUCUGAUACUGGUCAGCUAGAGUCUUGUAGAGGGGGGUAGAAUUCCAUGUGUAGCGGUGAAAUGCGUAGAGAUGUGGAGGAAUACCGGUGGCGAAGGCGGCCCCCUGGACAAAGACUGACGCUCAGGUGCGAAAGCGUGGGGAGCAAACAGG
rnacentral:rRNA from 1 species